AGAGUUUGAUCCUGGCUCAGGACGAACGCUGGCGGCGUGCCUAAUGCAUGCAAGUCGAGCGGGCUACGAUCUUCGGAUUGUAGCUUAGCGGCGAACGGGUGAGUAACACGUAGGUAAUCUACCCUUCAGAGGAGGACAACCUCAGGAAACUGAGGCUAAACCUUCAUACGUUCACUGGUAGGGAUACUGGUGAAGAAAGAGUUACCUUAGUGGUAGCUGCUGAAGGAUGAGCCUGCGGCCCAUCAGGUAGUUGGUGAGGUAACGGCUCACCAAGCCGAAGACGGGUAACCGGUCUGAGAGGAUGUCCGGUCACACUGGGACUGAGACAUGGCCCAGACUCCUACGGGAGGCAGCAGCAGGGAAUCUUGGGCAAUGGGCGAAAGCCUGACCCAGCGACGCCGCGUGGAGGAAGAAGUCCUUCGGGGCGUAAACUCCUGGACUGGGGGACGAGGAAGGACGGUACCCCAGUAGAAAGGGACGGCUAACUACGUGCCAGCAGCCGCGGUAAAACGUAGGUCCCGAGCGUUGUUCGGAUUCACUGGGUGUAAAGGGCGCGUAGGUGGUUGUCUGUGUCUCAUGUGGAAACUCAGGGCUCAACUCUGAGAUUGCGUGGGAAACUAGGCAGCUAGAGGACGGUAGAGGGGAGUGGAAUUCCCGGUGUAGCGGUAAAAUGCGUAGAUAUCGGGAGGAACACCGGUGGCGAAGGCGGCUCUCUGGGCCGAUCCUGACGCUGAGGCGCGAAAGCUAGGGGAGCGAACCGGAUUAGAUACCCGGGUAGUCCUAGCCGUAAACGAUGGGUGCUAGGUGUUGGGGGGUAAAGACCCUUCAGUGCCGAAGCCAACGCGAUAAGCAUCCCACCUGGGGGAGUACGGCCGCAAGGUUGAAACUCAAAUGAAUUGACGG
rnacentral:rRNA from 1 species